ACAUGCAAGUCGAGCGGACAGAAGGGAGCUUGCUCCCGGAUGUUAGCGGCGGACGGGUGAGUAACACGUGGGUAACCUGCCUGUAAGACUGGGAUAACUCCGGGAAACCGGAGCUAAUACCGGAUAGUUCCUUGAACCGCAUGGUUCAAGGAUGAAAGACGGUUUCGGCUGUCACUUACAGAUGGACCCGCGGCGCAUUAGCUAGUUGGUGGGGUAAUGGCUCACCAAGGCGACGAUGCGUAGCCGACCUGAGAGGGUGAUCGGCCACACUGGGACUGAGACACGGCCCAGACUCCUACGGGAGGCAGCAGUAGGGAAUCUUCCGCAAUGGACGAAAGUCUGACGGAGCAACGCCGCGUGAGUGAUGAAGGUUUUCGGAUCGUAAAGCUCUGUUGUUAGGGAAGAACAAGUGCGAGAGUAACUGCUCGCACCUUGACGGUACCUAACCAGAAAGCCACGGCUAACUACGUGCCAGCAGCCGCGGUAAUACGUAGGUGGCAAGCGUUGUCCGGAAUUAUUGGGCGUAAAGGGCUCGCAGGCGGUUUCUUAAGUCUGAUGUGAAAGCCCCCGGCUCAACCGGGGAGGGUCAUUGGAAACUGGGAAACUUGAGUGCAGAAGAGGAGAGUGGAAUUCCACGUGUAGCGGUGAAAUGCGUAGAGAUGUGGAGGAACACCAGUGGCGAAGGCGACUCUCUGGUCUGUAACUGACGCUGAGGAGCGAAAGCRUGGGGAGCGAACAGGAUUAGAUACCCUGGUAGUCCACGCCGUAAACGAUGAGUGCUAAGUGUUAGGGGGUUUCCGCCCCUUAGUGCUGCAGCUAACGCAUUAAGCACUCCGCCUGGGGAGUACGGUCGCAAGACUGAAACUCAAAGGAAUUGACGGGGGCCCGCACAAGCGGUGGAGCAUGUGGUUUAAUUCGAAGCAACGCGAAGAACCUUACCAGGUCUUGACAUCCUCUGACAACCCUAGAGAUAGGGCUUUCCCUUCGGGGACAGAGUGACAGGUGGUGCAUGGUUGUCGUCAGCUCGUGUCGUGAGAUGUUGGGUUAAGUCCCGCAACGAGCGCAACCCUUGAUCUUAGUUGCCAGCAUU
rnacentral:rRNA from 1 species